GGACAUAGCUCAAUUGGUAGAGUGCUUGCCUCACAUGCAUAAGGCCCUGGGUUCAAUCCCCAACACCA
rnacentral:tRNA from 1 species